rnacentral:rRNA from 1 species
AACCUGCGGAAGGAUCAUUAUCGAAUUCUGGAGUGGAGUGGGGAACACGUCGAGUGGGAGACUGUCGCUGGCCUCUCGGGGCAUGUCGCACGUCUUCCCUUUUCGUUGACCUUUCUCCUUCUCUCUCUCUCUCUCUCACACCUGUGCACCCGUCGUAGGUCCUCGAAAGAGGAUCUAUGUAUUUUUCAUAUCACACCCCAUCGUAUGUCUAUAGAAUGUAUUGAAAACGUCGACCUGUCUUGACAGGCCUGACGGUUCAUAAAUCCAUACAACUUUCAGCAACGGAUCUCUUGGCUCUCGCAUCGAUGAAGAACGCAGCGAAUUGCGAUAAGUAAUGUGAAUUGCAGAUUUUCAGUGAAUCAUCGAAUCUUUGAACGCACCUUGCGCUCCUUGGUAUUCCGAGGAGCAUGCCUGUUUGAGUGUCAUCGAAUUCUCAACCAUGUCUUGAUCGAUUUCAAGGCCAUGGCUUGGAGUUGGGGGUUGCUGGCGGCGACGAGCUGUCGGCUCUCCUGAAAUGCAUUAGCAAAGGGCAGCAAGUCUUUGACGUGCACGGCCUUCGACGUGAUAAUGAUCGUCGUGGCUGGAGCGUCGGACAUGCAUGAAUAGGUCCUGUGCUUCUAAUCUCUCCCAUGCCGACGGCGUGU